CCGGACCGGCGCACGGGUGAGUAACACGUAUGCAACCUGGCCGUCACAGGUGGAUAACCGGAAGAAAUUCCGACUAAUACAGCAUAACACUCCUGAGGGACAUCCCUUGGGAGUCAAAGGAGGCAACUCCGGUGACGGAUGGGCAUGCGGCGCAUUAGGUAGUUGGUAGGGUAACGGCCUACCAAGCCGACGAUGCGUAGGGGUUCUGAGAGGAAGGUCCCCCACAUUGGAACUGAGACACGGUCCAAACUCCUACGGAAGGCAGCAG
rnacentral:rRNA from 1 species